rnacentral:rRNA from 1 species
GACGAACGCUGGCGGCAUGCCUAAUACAUGCAAGUCGAGCGAACAUUUAAAAGAGCUUGCUCUUUUAAAUGUUAGCGGCGGAUGGGUGAGUAACACGUGGGCAACCUGCCCUGCAGAUUGGGAUAACUCCGGGAAACCGGGGCUAAUACCAAAUAAACAGUUUGUCCGCAUGGACGAACUCUAAAAGACGGUUUCGGCUGUCACUGUAGGAUGGGCCCGCGGCGCAUUAGCUAGUUGGUGGGAUAACGGCUACCAAGGCAACGAUGCGUAGCCGACCUGAGAGGGUGAUCGGCCACACUGGGACUGAGACACGGCCCAGACUCCUACGGGUGGCAG